AUUGAACGCUGGCGGCAGGCCUAACACAUGCCAGUCGAACGGUAACAGGAAGCAGCUUGCUGCUUCGCUGACGAGUGGCGGACGGGUGAGUAAUGUCUGGGAAGCUGCCUGAUGGAGGGGGAUAACUACUGGAAACGGUAGCUAAUACCGCAUAAUGUCGCAAGACCAAAGAGGGGGACCUUCGGGCCUCUUGCCAUCGGAUGUGCCCAGAUGGGAUUAGCUUGUUGGUGGGGUAACGGCUCACCAAGGCGACGAUCCCUAGCUGGUCUGAGAGGAUGACCAGCCACACUGGGACUGAGACACGGUCCAGACUCCUACGGGAGGCAGCAGUGGGGAAUAUUGCACAAUGGGCGCAAGCCUGAUGCAGCCAUGCCGCGUGUAUGAAGAAGGCCUUCGGGUUGUAAAGUACUUUCAGCGGGGAGGAAGGGAGUAAAGUCAAUACCUUUGCUCAUUGACGUUACCCGCAGAAGAAGCACCGGCUAACUCCGUG
rnacentral:rRNA from 1 species